rnacentral:sRNA from 1 species
GAGGGGGAGGGGAGGUGUUUAGGGGAAAGUAGGGGCUUUGGGUGUUGGGAGCCGGCUGACGGGUGGACAAGGAGGGGUUAGCAGCUGGGCUGCGACCGUUAGCGAGGGGCUCAAGGUGUGCAUGUGUGAGGGAAGAGGGAGAGAGAGAAGGGCGCUUCAGAGGUGACUUUCAGCCUGCGAGCCUUCUUCCCGGGGCGCCAUAAAAGCCCCCAAUUUCCCAGCUGCUAAAGGAAGAAGAAGAUUCAACCCUAUGAAAAGAUAAAGGCCAGGGGCUUGCCUGAUAAUAUAUCUUCUGUGUUGAACAAACUAGUGGUGGUGAAACUCAAUGGUGGUUUGGGAACCAGCAUGGGCUGCAAAGGCCCUAAAAGUCUGAUUGGUGUGAGGAAUGAGAAUACCUUUCUGGAUCUGACUGUUCAGCAAAUUGAAGUGAGUAACAUUUAGCCUUUCUCAUGAGAUACUAAAAUAGUUUUUAGUUUUUAUCAUAAAUGUU